rnacentral:rRNA from 1 species
UACGAACCGUCCGAACGUUAUUCGGAAUCACUGGGCUUAGAGGGUGCGUAGGCGGCCCGGAAAGUUGGGUGUGAAAUCCCUCGGCUUAACCGAGGAAUGGCGCUCAAAACUACCGGGCUCGAGGGAGACAGAGGUGAGCGGAACUUAGGGUGGAGCGGUGAAAUGCGUUGAUAUCCUAAGGAACACCGGUGGCGAAAGCGGCUCACUGGGUCUUUUCUGACGCUGAGGCACGAAAGCUAGGGGAGCGAACGGG